rnacentral:lncRNA from 1 species
GGGACCUUAAAGUAGUCCAUGACGUCAUAACGUCGUCCGAUUAAAAGAUGGCGUUACCAUCGCUCGUCCAUGACGUCAUGUGUUUCCAUUGGGAAAACAAGUGCCAGCGGCAGACGAACCCUCGAGCGCGCAGUUCAUGAUGGGUGGAAAAUCACAUCCAUGUGCUAUCUGUCAAAGGCGGAAAGAUUCACAUCCUCUCCAUCAUUUUCAUAGGUUUCCAAAGGACAAAGACAGAUUUCAGGUGUCUUUUGUGGCUAAAUGCUUUAAAUAUUCCAAGGCUCAACGAAAAAGGCCACACUCAUCUUAAUAGGAGCUUUCGUGUGUGCAGUCACCAUUUCUCUGCAUCUCAAUAUUGCAGCGCCUCCCCACCUAAGUUAUUAAGCACUGCACGGCCUGACCAAAAUCUUGGAAGGAAUUAGUUCAGUGGGAGAGCCUGUCCAGUCUGAAAUCUCAAAUGAGUAUAAAUUAGAUGGACAUUGCAAUAUUGACUGUGAAAAGGUAGAAGGAUUGUCUACACUGCUGGCAAAUCUUGAGAAUGUAGACCUUGAGUUUGGUAAAAUAGAAGAAUCAUCCGACCAUAGAGCUGGCAUCAGAAUGUUUAACAAUUCCAUGGACCAUGAUUUUGAUAAUAAGUUUUAUACAUAGAUUCUUAAAAGAAAUUACUUCUAGUAGCAUUGAAUACCCCAUACCAUCUUGUAUAGAUAACUAUGUGCUUAUUCCAUAUGAUUUAAUAUUUUUUGUUUACAUUGCAUAGAUAGGCCUACUCUUAACAAAAAGAAUGCUUUGGAAAGCUGUACUAUAAGAUACAUUAUGCAGGCUGCUUUGACUGGUAUGUACUAAUGCUUGAUCACUUUAUUAAUAUUUUUUAAUAAUUUAUUUAUAGCAUAAAUCUUAGCUUUUAUAAUGAAAUGCCUUUGCAGAUGAAAGCAGUCUGCCUAUGCCUGCUGAUGUUCUUCCUGCAAGCAGUCUUUCAAAUGAAAAUGAGUCUGUCAUUUUGCUGAAUGAGCCAGAUGUCUUGGAUGGAGUUUUACCACAGAUUAUAUGAAUAUAUAUAUAUAUAUAAAAUUUGUUUCUAUUAUCAUAAAUGAUACAUUUUACACUAUAUUACCUUUGCAGAUGAAAGCAACCUGGCUGCAAUUGAUAUAUUUCCUACAAGCACACACAUUCACGUAGUGUACACACACACACACACACACACACACACACACACACACACACACACACACACACACACACACACACACACACACACACACACACACACACACACACACACUAGGCUUGGCUUGGCUUGGCUUGGCUUGGCUUCAAGUUAAGGAGACAGUACUUAAGUAGAUGUGCAUUUUUAAAGGUUUUCAGUUAGUAGAGAAAUAUUCAGUUGCAGAAAUCCAAUUCCUUUUGUAUAAAAAGAAAAAAAUCUAGAUAGAAUGAGGUUCAAAAGAUUUAAGUUCAAAUCAUCUUUUAUUUUUUUACAUGGAGCAAACCUAGUUCAGGUUAAAUUAAUUAUAUUUAGGACUAUAAUGGAUUGAAAUUACUAUAUUUUACAUGAAAAAUUCAUUUAAACUAGACUGCCUAUGUUUGUGAUAUUAGCAAAAAUGUAAAUUACAAUAGAAUCAUGUAAACAUUCAUAUGGCAUAUAACUAUAUAGACAGCAUUUCACAAUAUUUGAAAGUACAAGCACAAAUACAUCAAUCUCUAGAAUCUCAAUUGUAUAAGUACUCUGAUUUUUUAUACUAAAGUACAAAUACUUGGAUCCAAACCUGGUUAAUACAUAUGCAUAUACUUUUUCUACUUAGAAAUGUGUAAUUGCUCAAUUAUUGAGGUAUUCAUUUGAAUUGUUGUAUAAAGAAAUCAAUGUCUUGUGCAAUGAUAUGACCAUUUAUAGUUUAGUUUAUGCUUUAAGAUAUCACUAUGCAUGCCAUAAAAAUAGAUUAUAUUAAAUAUCCUGUUUUUUAAGCAUUUUUUGCUAUAUUUCAGCAAAUGCAAGCAUACAUCAGUCACCAUGUUCACAAAAGAUUAAAACCAAAAACAAAAUAAUUCAAAAUUUAAGGGUGAGAGCUCAUAGGUUGUUAAAGAAAUAUAAUAAUCUUCAAAACAGAUUAUUGUGGAAAGAUAUACAAAUCAAUUUUAAAAUAGAUUAUCUUUUAACCAGGAAAUUGAAUCAAGACUGUUUAGAAUUUUUUUUUGGUUGUGUUAGAAAUGUUUGUGGGAAUAAUGAUUCCCCUGACACAAAAUCUUUUGUUUCUGCUGUAAAGAACAUAACAGCCAAUCAUUGAAUUCAACAGUCAUCCAAUGGAAAUUGUGUAGAAGAUACAACACCAAUGUUAUCACAUAUUAAUCUUUCCAAUUUGAAGGAGAAGGCAUUCAUAAAAGAAGUCAGUAUUUCAAGUAAUUCUCUUGAUUAUAUCAUUGACAGAGAUUCUGCAUAAGUAGAGGCAAGUAUCUCGAGUAGCCUAGAACAUUUGCAAACCCUUCAUUUAUCAUCACAUUCUACUAAUAUAGCAACAUAUUUUUCUUCAUUUGUUCCUUAUAAUGAUGCCGCAACUACUUCCACAUCUGAAAUGUCACCCAUGCCAUAUCCCGAUUUAAUUGAAAAUGCUGCUGCAUAUAUUGUUAGUUACAUAUGCCAUAAAGUAAUAAAAAGCCAUAAGUGUGACAAUUGCAGACAGCAGAUAAUUCAGUCUCCUAAAGAUAAUUCUGAUAACACUGAUAUAUUUUUCAAUGCCAAAGCUCUUGAUGAAUAUAAAUAUUUAACUUUUCCUAAACUUGAAAUUAUUGAUACAGUAACAGAUUUCGAAAAAACGUUUAUGUCAAAAAUUAAUGAUUAUAUGUAUAAAGAUAAAUUAAAAUAUAAUUUAGCAAUAGAAUUAAACAAAAUUCAAUUUGGUUUUAAUCUUUGUAGUGGAGUACAAGACAAAUUCAUAAAUAUUUUCCUCACCAUGAGAAUUCACCAUCACAUUAAAAUAUUUAACAGAAACUUACGAAUAAGAAAGAGCAUAGACAGCAGUCAUCUACCUACAAAGAAAAACAGAGAACUUCAAAAGGUAAUUCAUCACUAGCAUGUUUUUUAUCAGUUUUUUGUUUCUUUCUGUUUCCUUUUGUGUUUGUCUUUAUUGUUUUUUAUUUGUUACUUUUGAGUUUCUGUUUUUGUCUGAGUUUGGGUUUUGUUUGCUUUGUUUUUUAAAUGUUUAUCUGGUUUUGUCUUUAUUUCUAACAAAAAUAGCCUGUUAUUUUAUAUAUUUUUAUUUUUGUUUGUAAUUUCUGUUUCAUGUUUACAUGAAAUGUAACAUAAUGUCUGUGUGUUCAUUUUUAUGUAUAUACCUUGCUUAACUGUUUCUGCAUUAUUGUUUUAUUUUCUGACCAUUUUUUUUCUAAUGUGCAUUAUUGGACUGCAUGCUCCUCUUCAUUAUUUGUUGUUUUCUCAUUGUUUUUUGUCUUGUCCUUGCAUGAUUCUAAAUUAUUUUUGUUUAUAUAUAUUUGUUACUGAUUUUGCAUGUGUUUUUAUGGCAUAUGCAUGUCACGUUUAUAUGUCAAUCAUAGGUACAGUAUUUUUAUUAUAAUAAAAGCAAUCCAUA